rnacentral:rRNA from 1 species
UACGUAGGCAGCGAGCGUUGUUCGGAAUCACUGGGCUUAAAGGGCGCGUAGGCGGGUGCUCAAGUCCGGGGUGAAAUCCUCCAGCUCAACUGGAGAACUGCCUCGGAUACUGGGUGUCUCGAGUGUGGUAGGGGUAUGCGGAACUAUCGGUGGAGCGGUGAAAUGCGUUGAUAUCGAUAGGAACUCCGGUGGCGAAGGCGGCAUACUGGACCACUACUGACGCUGAUGCGCGAAAGCCAGGGGAGCAAACGGG